GAUGAAGAACGUAGCGAAAUGCGAUAAGUAAUGUGAAUUGUAGAAUUCAGUGAAUCAUCGAAUCUUUGAACGCACAUUGCGCCCGCCAGUAUUCUGGCGGGCAUGCCUGUUCGAGCGUCAUUUCAACCAUCAAGCUCUGCUUGCGUUGGGGAUCCGCGGCUGCCCGCGGUCCCUCAAAACCAGUGGCGGGCUCGCUAGUCACACCGAGCGUAGUAACUUUACAUCGCUAUGGUCGUGCGGCGGGUGCUUGCCGUAAAACCCCCCAAUUUUUAAGGUUGACCUCGGAUCAGGUAGGAAUACCCGCUGAACUUAAGCAUAUCAAUAAGCGGAGGA
rnacentral:misc_RNA from 1 species